rnacentral:lncRNA from 1 species
CUCUGGUCCCUACCAGCUGGCGGGGGUUUCUUUCCCUUCUUGGCUCGGCCUGGAAACUCAUCUUUUAUUCAUGAAAAUUGAGGCCCUAGGAGGCCUCAGCAUAAACAGGAUGUAAAUAUUUGCGGCUGGUUGGGGAGAGGUGGCAUUUGAUCGGGGACUGUCCAGAGUGGCGGCCGCCUGGACAAUGCUUACUUGGGACCCGCCCACCUCCAUCUCCUCUAUAGGUUGGGUUUGGGGGGCAUGUGCAGGCUCUCCCUCCUGAUUGGAGACCAGGUUUGGGACUCCUGUGCCCUCCAAGUCAGACCGGAUGCCGCUUAACCCUCGGGGCAUCCUGCUCUCCUAGUCGUCGGCUCCCUUCAUCCGCAUUCCUCGGUGUAGGGGACAGGAUUGGCUUUCUGGCCCUCAUGGAAGUGCCUGGUCUCCUCUCCAGGCCCUCACCUGCCCUUCCUGCAGCCGGAUGGAACCCUUCACUCCCACACAUCUGCUCCACAGACAUCAGACCCUACUCUUUUAGGACCUUACACACACUGUGACCUUACACUUGCUGUGUCUCCUCACGUCCUCCCCAACUCCACCUGUGUACUGCACAUCUCUGCACCCAGGACACUUCCUGGAGCGUGUAAGAGGCUGUGGUCUUGCCUGGAAUCUGGCUGGGCAGGAGGCACCCAGCUGCCUCAGGUAGGAAGAAAACAUUUCCAUCUGUGAGACAUUCUUCUUGGAAAUAAUGCCCUCGGGACUCCCCAGGGAAUGUGGCAUGCUGGUGUGAGCAUGAAUGGGCAUGCUGGGAUUCAGCUUUGUUUAAAAUGUUCAGCAUGCCUUCUUCAGAUGAGAUCUAUGCUUUGCCAUGUCUGGGAUUAGGGCAGACAUCAAAUAUACCUCCCCAAAUUGGGGCACCGGCUAGCCAGACUGGACCCACGUGAAUCAUUUGCAGAGGAGGUGGUACGGAAAGAGUGGACUUGAGAAAUAAUGUCCUGGGGAAAUUGCUUUGAAAGGAUUGUCAAACUGCUUAAAUGAGGUUUUUUGAAUGCAAUUAAUCAACCCCUAAUUGGUCCUGUGAGGACACACAGUUUUCUUCAGUAUAGGACCUUUUUUCCCCCGUUUCUUUGGCCAAGCAGCUUGUGGGAUCUUAGUUCCCUGACCAGGGAUUGAACCCACACUCUAGGCAGUGAAAGCACAGAGUCCUAACCACUGGACCCCUAGAGGAUUCCCGUGGGCUUCCUGAUCUGGCAGUCCAAAUACCCCAGGCCACAGAGUACCUAACAGGAAGGGAAAAACCAACAAAACCCACGGA